AUUGAGCGCUGGCGGCAUGCCUUACACAUGCAAGUCGAACGGCAGCACGGGAGCAAUCCUGGUGGCGAGUGGCGAACGGGUGAGUAAUAUAUCGGAACGUGCCCAAUCGUGGGGGAUAACGCAGCGAAAGCUGUGCUAAUACCGCAUACGAUCUAAGGAUGAAAGCGGGGGAUCGCAAGACCUCGCGCGAGUGGAGCGGCCGAUAUCAGAUUAGCUAGUUGGUGAGGUAAAGGCGCACCAAGGCGACGAUCUGUAGCUGGUCUGAGUGGACGACCAGCAACACGGGAACUGAGACACGGUCCAGACUCCUACGGGAGGCAGCAGUGGGGAAUUUUGGACAAUGGGCGCAAGCCUGAUCCAGCAAUGCCGCGUGCAGGAUGAAGGCCUUCGGGUUGUAAACUGCUUUUGUACGGAGCGAAAAGGUUCUCUCUAAUAAAGAGGGCUCAUGACGGUACCGUAAGAAUAAGCACCGGCUAACUACGUGCCAGCAGCCGCGGUAACAC
rnacentral:rRNA from 1 species